CUCCUAACGCUUACAGCAGGACUAAUGUCAGAAGACCCAGCCUCACAGACAUCCCUAUCCUCCUCCCCUAUCCCAACGCCGAAGCAUGAGGUCUUGCUUACCAGGCAGCAGCAGGGAUAUCCUUAGGCCUUUAGGCACAGCAGGGCUCUGGUGGUCAAAACAUCCUUCCCUUCCAGUGGCUGCAGAAACCCUGGGGUACACAAUUGACCCCUUAAGCUGGGUCUGACUUCAAAGUGGGCCCUGCUCUGCACACAACAUCAGGCAGUGGCCUCCAGAGCUGCUUCUAAACCAAAGGGUUCCUUGAUUGAAAUGCUAUGUAAAAGAUUGCCAUUGUUUUGCACUGCAGCCACUCACUGAUGUGGAUCAACUGUGCCAGUCACUCCACCACUGUAAAUACGGAACUGCUUUAUUCAGCUCCCUGAAGCUUAAUCAGCCUGCUUUUAAAACAGCUUGUGAGCCCCUUUGGUCUGAAGCUUCCUCCUACCAGGUUGCUUCAUUUCUCUGCGUCAGAGCACGUGCAUGUGGAAAUGGAGAUCAAAGAGCAUUGUUAAUUGACAGAAGAGGUGUUACAGAGAUUGUCAGUUACCUUUUGCUGCUGAUACCCAUCACCUCUAAUAGAAAUCUUGGGAUUUAAAAAAAAAAAAAAGGCUUUCAUGCCAUACAUCUUCUGUCAAACCUGAGGACACCAAUGGACACAGAACUUACUCUUCUUUAACUGCAGACUUGUAUUCCAUAAAAUAUGAAAAGACAUCUGAAAAAGUCACCAGAUCUAACUGGGUGGAGACCGGAUGUCAGGAGAAAAC
ensembl:lncRNA